rnacentral:rRNA from 1 species
AUUGAACGCUGGCGGUAGGCCUAACACAUGCAAGUCGAACGGCAGCACAGUAAGAGCUUGCUCUUUCGGGAGGCGAGUGGCGGACGGGUGAGGAAUACAUCGGAAUCUAUUUUUUCGUGGGGGAUAACGUAGGGAAACUUACGCUAAUACCGCAUACGACCUACGGGUGAAAGCAGGGGACCUUCGGAUCUUGCGCGAUCGAAUGAGCCGAUGUCGGAUUAGCUAGUUGGCGGGGUAAAGGCCCACCAAGGCGACGAUCCGUAGCUGGUCUGAGAGGAUGAUCAGCCACACUGGAACUGAGACACGGUCCAGACUCCUACGGGAGGCAGCAGUGGGGAAUAUUGGACAAAGGGCGCAAGCCUGAUCCAGCCAUGCCGCGUGGGUGAAGAAGGCCUUCGGGUUGUAAAGCACUUUUGGUGGGGAGGAAAAGCAGCAGGUUAAUACCCCGCUGUUUUGACGGUACCCAAAGAAUAAGCACCGGCUAACUUCGUG